GACAGAGGCCUCAAGCGUUAGGCGGAAUCACUGGGCUUAAAGCGUGUGUAGGCGGAUCGUUAAGUGCCUUGUGAAAUCCCACGGCUUAACUGUGGAACGGCUGGGCAUACUGGCGGUCUUGAGCCAUCUAGGGGCGACUGGAACAAACGGUGGAGCGGUGAAAUGCGUAGAUAUCACUUGGAACGCCAACGGUGAAAACAGCCUGCUGGGGACCUGCUGACGCUGAGACACGAAAGCCAGGGGAGCGAACGGG
rnacentral:rRNA from 1 species